rnacentral:rRNA from 1 species
UUAAGCGACUAAGCGUACACGGUGGAUGCCCUGGCAGUCAGAGGCGAUGAAGGACGUGCUAAUCUGCGAUAAGCGUCGGUAAGGUGAUAUGAACCGUUAUAACCGGCGAUUUCCGAAUGGGGAAACCCAGUGUGUUUCGACACACUAUCAUUAACUGAAUCCAUAGGUUAAUGAGGCGAACCGGGGGAACUGAAACAUCUAAGUACCCCGAGGAAAAGAAAUCAACCGAGAUUCCCCCAGUAGCGGCGAGCGAACGGGGAGCAGCCCAGAGUCUGAAUCAGUGUGUGUGUUAGUGGAAGCGUCUGGAAAGGCGCGCGAUACAGGGUGACAGCCCCGUACACAAAAAUGCACAUGCUGUGAGCUCGAUGAGUAGGGCGGGACACGUGGUAUCCUGUCUGAAUAUGGGGGGACCAUCCUCCAAGGCUAAAUACUCCUGACUGACCGAUAGUGAACCAGUACCGUGAGGGAAAGGCGAAAAGAACCCCGGCGAGGGGAGUGAAAAAGAACCUGAAACCGUGUACGUACAAGCAGUGGGAGCCUCUUUAUGGGGUGACUGCGUACCUUUUGUAUAAUGGGUCAGCGACUUAUAUUCUGUAGCAAGGUUAACCGAAUAGGGGAGCCGAAGGGAAACCGAGUCUUAACUGGGCGUUAAGUUGCAGGGUAUAGACCCGAAACCCGGUGAUCUAGCCAUGGGCAGGUUGAAGGUUGGGUAACACUAACUGGAGGACCGAACCGACUAAUGUUGAAAAAUUAGCGGAUGACUUGUGGCUGGGGGUGAAAGGCCAAUCAAACCGGGAGAUAGCUGGUUCUCCCCGAAAGCUAUUUAGGUAGCGCCUCGUGAAUUCAUCUCCGGGGGUAGAGCACUGUUUCGGCAAGGGGGUCAUCCCGACUUACCAACCCGAUGCAAACUGCGAAUACCGGAGAAUGUUAUCACGGGAGACACACGGCGGGUGCUAACGUCCGUCGUGAAGAGGGAAACAACCCAGACCGCCAGCUAAGGUCCCAAAGUCAUGGUUAAGUGGGAAACGAUGUGGGAAGGCCCAGACAGCCAGGAUGUUGGCUUAGAAGCAGCCAUCAUUUAAAGAAAGCGUAAUAGCUCACUGGUCGAGUCGGCCUGCGCGGAAGAUGUAACGGGGCUAAACCAUGCACCGAAGCUGCGGCAGCGACACUAUGUGUUGUUGGGUAGGGGAGCGUUCUGUAAGCCUGUGAAGGUGUACUGUGAGGUAUGCUGGAGGUAUCAGAAGUGCGAAUGCUGACAUAAGUAACGAUAAAGCGGGUGAAAAGCCCGCUCGCCGGAAGACCAAGGGUUCCUGUCCAACGUUAAUCGGGGCAGGGUGAGUCGACCCCUAAGGCGAGGCCGAAAGGCGUAGUCGAUGGGAAACAGGUUAAUAUUCCUGUACUUGGUGUUACUGCGAAGGGGGGACGGAGAAGGCUAUGUUGGCCGGGCGACGGUUGUCCCGGUUUAAGCGUGUAGGCUGGUUUUCCAGGCAAAUCCGGAAAAUCAAGGCUGAGGCGUGAUGACGAGGCACUACGGUGCUGAAGCAACAAAUGCCCUGCUUCCAGGAAAAGCCUCUAAGCAUCAGGUAACAUCAAAUCGUACCCCAAACCGACACAGGUGGUCAGGUAGAGAAUACCAAGGCGCUUGAGAGAACUCGGGUGAAGGAACUAGGCAAAAUGGUGCCGUAACUUCGGGAGAAGGCACGCUGAUAUGUAGGUGAAGCGACUUGCUCGUGGAGCUGAAAUCAGUCGAAGAUACCAGCUGGCUGCAACUGUUUAUUAAAAACACAGCACUGUGCAAACACGAAAGUGGACGUAUACGGUGUGACGCCUGCCCGGUGCCGGAAGGUUAAUUGAUGGGGUUAGCGGUAACGCGAAGCUCUUGAUCGAAGCCCCGGUAAACGGCGGCCGUAACUAUAACGGUCCUAAGGUAGCGAAAUUCCUUGUCGGGUAAGUUCCGACCUGCACGAAUGGCGUAAUGAUGGCCAGGCUGUCUCCACCCGAGACUCAGUGAAAUUGAACUCGCUGUGAAGAUGCAGUGUACCCGCGGCAAGACGGAAAGACCCCGUGAACCUUUACUAUAGCUUGACACUGAACAUUGAGCCUUGAUGUGUAGGAUAGGUGGGAGGCUUUGAAGUGUGGACGCCAGUCUGCAUGGAGCCGGCCUUGAAAUACCACCCUUUAAUGUUUGAUGUUCUAACGUUGGCCCCUGAUCGGGGUUGCGGACAGUGUCUGGUGGGUAGUUUGACUGGGGCGGUCUCCUCCUAAAGAGUAACGGAGGAGCACGAAGGUUGGCUAAUCCUGGUCGGACAUCAGGAGGUUAGUGCAAUGGCAUAAGCCAGCUUGACUGCGAGCGUGACGGCGCGAGCAGGUGCGAAAGCAGGUCAUAGUGAUCCGGUGGUUCUGAAUGGAAGGGCCAUCGCUCAACGGAUAAAAGGUACUCCGGGGAUAACAGGCUGAUACCGCCCAAGAGUUCAUAUCGACGGCGGUGUUUGGCACCUCGAUGUCGGCUCAUCACAUCCUGGGGCUGAAGUAGGUCCCAAGGGUAUGGCUGUUCGCCAUUUAAAGUGGUACGCGAGCUGGGUUUAGAACGUCGUGAGACAGUUCGGUCCCUAUCUGCCGUGGGCGCUGGAGAACUGAGGGGGGCUGCUCCUAGUACGAGAGGACCGGAGUGGACGCAUCACUGGUGUUCGGGUUGUCAUGCCAAUGGCACUGCCCGGUAGCUAAAUGCGGAAGAGAUAAGUGCUGAAAGCAUCUAAGCACGAAACUUGCCCCGAGAUGAGUUCUCCCUGAGACUUAGAGUCUCCUGAAGGAACGUUGAAGACGACGACGUUGAUAGGCCGGGUGUGUAAGCGCAGAGAUGCGUUGAGCUAACCGGUACUAAUGAACCGUGAGGCUUAACCUU